GGCACCAUAGCCAAGUGGUAAGGCAGAGGCCUGCAAAGCCUUUACUCCCCGGUUCAAAUCCGGGUGGUGCCUCCA
rnacentral:tRNA from 1 species